rnacentral:tRNA from 1 species
GGGUAGUUAGCUUAGUGGAUAAAGCCUUAGAUUCCGAUUCUAAAGAUCAAGGGUUCGAUUCCCUUACUACUCA